rnacentral:pre_miRNA from 1 species
GACAUCGUGCCAUGUGGCAUGAUGGCAGAAAGUCCAUCGUGCCAUUGUGUCAUCGUGCCAUGUGCCCAUCGUGUC